rnacentral:rRNA from 1 species
GAUCAUGGCUCAUGAUGAACGCUGGCGGCGUGCCUAACACAUGCAAGUCGAGCGAAGCGAUUUAAGUGAAGUUUUCGGAUGGAUCUUAAAUUGACUGAGCGGCGGACGGGUGAGUAACGCGUGGAUAACCUGCCUCACACAGGGGGAUAACAGUUAGAAAUGACUGCUAAUACCGCAUAAGCGCACGGUACCGCAUGGUACAGUGUGAAAAACUCCGGUGGUGUGAG